UACGUAGGGUCCGAGCGUUGUCCGGAAUUACUGGGCGUAAAGCGUGCGCAGGCGGUCCGUUAAGACAGAUGUGAAAUCCCCGGGCUUAACCUGGGAAUGGCAUUUGUGACUGCACGGCUAGAGUGUGUCAGAGGGGGGUAGAAUUACACGUGUAGCAGUGAAAUGCGUAGAUAUGUGGAGGAAUACCGAUGGCGAAGGCAGCCCCCUGGGAUAACACUGACGCUCAUGCACGAAAGCGUGGGGAGCAAACAGG
rnacentral:rRNA from 1 species